GGGGGCGGGGCCCGCGGUGGCCGACGCCCUAUGUGGGCGUUCCGGCAAAGAGAGAGUCUAGUCCAGGGAAUCCUCUGGAAAAAAACGCUAAUGCGGCCGUGGAGGCGGUGGCGCGGAGGAUGAUUAGAUAAAGUGCGCUGCCCUCGGCGGAGGGAUUAUGUAGUUUGUAGAAAGGCAUCGUUACGAAACCCUCUACCCAAGGGAUUUCAGUUUUGUCCUGUUGGAUUUUUUUCCCUGAUGGCCCAUGACCUCACAGGAAUGCGAUGGAGCCGGCUCCCCGGGGAGCUCAGGCCUACUGUGGAUGUAGUGCCGAUGCCUUGGGCCUGAGCUGUGCACACUCCAGGGCGCGCCAUGGCUGUAGACCUCGAGGUCACCGACACCGUGCCCUUCCCCACCCCCACUUUCCUGUGUGUGGGCCCUCUCUUCCCACUCCCUCCGGGUGGGCUUUGCGGCAGCGCCCGACUGGUGACUUCAUGGGUAUGUCAAAAUAAUUCAAGGAACCUCAUUAACUUUAUUAACGCAGUUAAGCAACAGUUCUACAACCUUUUUGGUCUAAGAGCAGAGGUUUCCAACUCAAAGACUGCUCACUUGUGAGCUCCUGGAACCAGAUUAAAAUUUUGUUCCUGAUUUGAAGAACAAAGGACUACAAUCAAGAGUGAGAAUGGCAUGCUGACCGGAUGACAAGAGACGAAGGACACUGAGUUUAUACAAUCAACCUAAAAGGACAUAGAAGGACUUUGAAAGUUUGAACGUUUGAUCAUGAGGAUAUGUAAGAAUGCAUCACACAUGUUAAUAUCACAUAUAUACAUACACAUCCUACAUAGAAAAGGAAGAUAUCUCAUGGAAUGGGUAAGUAUACAACAGAGUUGCAACACAAAAGUCACACAUAUAAAUUUCUGUGGAAAAUUCAAACAGAUGAAGAUAUUUCUUAUCUGCACGAGUUUGCACAGAAAUCUAGAACAAUGUAUAUGGAUGUACAUUUGUAAAUCUGUAUAGGCACAACCUAUGUACACAUGUAAAUACUAAUUUACAAACAAGCUAUAUUAGGAUAAUUUAUUAAUGUUCUAAUGACGAACUAUAGGACAACUUAGAUAAUUUGUUCAAAGUCUUAGGGACAUAGAACUACUUAAGUAUAGAAGCUAGAUUGCAUUAUGAUUUUAGGUGAGCAAUUGUUAGUGAUAGAAAAUUUUACUUAGUGAUUAUAGACAUUAGGAGAUAAGACAGUUACUUAUUCAAAAUGUUAUGGAAAUCGUUGAAACUGUUUAAAAUUAUUUACAUGAUUUGUUGUUCUGUCAAAACCAUGUUCAUGUAAAUCCCUAUUACCUAAUCCAUUUUCCUAUACCCAAACUUAGCAUAGAACUAGAUAGAAUAGCUAAGAUAAGUUAAGAUUUGUUAUUUUGGGAGGGUAAAGGAAUAUUUAACAUAGUACAGAGUUAUGAAUAGUUAGCUAAGAAAUAUCCAAAAGGUAAGUAUCAUUUAAAAAAAUGCAAGCUGCAUUUUUUAAGACAAAAAAGGGAGAUAUUGUCAAAGAGGCAUGAAUGCAAAGGACAUCAUCUGUCAGUCAAAAAGGAAGAUUCCAUUUGGAAUGUGACUGGGAGACAGUUGGAGUCAAGCAAACAGCUGAACUGGGUUUUUGGCUUUUGGCUUCUGACAGAGGUGGAAAAGAAACUAUUUGUCUGAGGCUUUUGCUUCUGACAGAGGUGGAGAAGAAGCUAUUUGUCUGAAGCUUUUGCUGGCUAGCUGAUUUGAAGGAGGAAGAAGAAGAAAGACAGUUGUCCUCAUAUCUCUCUGACUGACUUUGUUUCACAGUUGUGACAGAAUUGCCAUACCCCCAAUAUCCUCCAAACACUCUCUAUAGAGAAUAGGGAAAUCCUACCCCCUCUUACCUUAUACUCCAUCCUUUUCUGUCUUCCCCAAUAAACCCUUACUUGAGUUAAAAAAAGAGAAAAAAGUAUUUUUCUCUAAAGCAUCAUAGUUUACACUGAGUGAAACUGAAGAAAGGAGGGAGGGGAAGCUGAAAGGCUUCUGAAGAGGGGAGGAAGGGAGAUUGAAAGAGGGGCAGAAGGGAGACAAAGGGAGGAGGGUAGGCAAACUUGAUCCAUUAGUGAUCUACUAUACAAUCAAUAUACACCCUCAAAUAUCUAUCUAUUACAGCAGCAAGCUUAGAUGCAGUGUUUAUGUGCUGAUUUUCCCUAAUGAUAGGGUCAGUUCCUCCUAUAUGGUCAGAACAAUGAACAAGCUGUGAAGAUUGGAUUUAGCUAUUUCCUGAUUAUAACAAUGAAGAUACUUAGUUUAACAAAAUCAGGAAUGUCUUGGGAACUUUAAAUUACUCCACCCUACUUAGACAAACUUUAGGCGAAGAUAAAGUUGUAAUCUCCUGAUUGAACAAUGAAGGUACUUAACUCUUACCUUAUAGUGAAGCUAGAACUUUAAGUUAAGUCUGUUUUAAGAUCUUGAUACAAAAAGGUGUUAAGUAACUAUAAAGGUUAAAUUAAUCACAAAAGGUCAAGUAUCUUAAUACAAAAAGAUGUUAAAUAACUAUAAAGGUUAAAUUAAUCACAAAAGGUCAAGUAACUAACAAAAGGUGAACUUAACAAAGAAGUGUUAAGUAACUCUAAAGAUAUAAUCUAAUCAAAAGAAGAUGAGAACUAAAAGUAUGGACAGUCCUGAAGAAAAGCCUUUGAUGUGAUUGGUAGAUGUGAAGAUUUAGAGGAGACACAAGGGUGAAAGAUCUGUAUAUUUGGAUCACUUCCUCUCCAUGGCAACCCUUUGCAGUGAAGAAUUGGCUGAUAGCAGUGUGCUGGCCUUUUGGCAUCUUAGUGUGGCUACAAGCUAUUGUCCUGUUUGGUGGUGAGUUUCUGGCUGAGUUUCCCUCCUUUACUUUUCCAACUUUAUCCCCUUAGAAGCCUCUAAUCUUCUUCAGAGACCUAGAGGCGGGGAUUUUAAAACUCCCCCUGGCACAGGCCAGGCAGGAGAAUCCUAUAUCCUCUUCCCUUCUUCUCCUUAAAUUCCCUCCCUCUAUAUUAAAUUACCAUAAAUUUCCAGACUGACUUGGGUAUUUUAUUGGGGAUUUUCCCUGGCAACCAAUUAACUCUAGACUUUAAGUCACAACCCUAAAAUUAUCUUUACAAAGCAAAGGCUGCAGGUAGAUGAAGAACAGAGUUCUUUAAUGAGCUCUGCAUUUUUUAUUGUUUUGCCAGCAGAAGUCAGAAAACUCCUCUGCAUCCAGAGCAUCCAAACAGUAUGACAGAUCCCAGAAGCAUACCUGGAGUCUGUAAAUUGCUGCUGUCUUUCCCUCAGCAAGUAUAAUAGCUUUUUUGGAAGGCCAGCAAUUCCACUCCUUGAGCACUAAAAUUAGAGGGUAAUGAAACUGCCCAGAUGAUAUAAUAGUUUGCCAUAAUUGCAGCACCUGUGUGGCAUAUUCCCUCCCUUAUAAAAGAACCAAAAGUGUAUAGAAUUAAAUCACAAUUUUUAAGGGUGUCCUGGAGAGAUCAUUAUGGGGCUUUUGAGCCAUGUACACUACCAAUUCACUAUAAUUAGCUGGUACAAGAUCUAAGAGACUGGCAUGACUGUAAAAAUAUGUAGCUUCACUAGGGACUUAUGAGAUGAUAGUUGCAGGAUUUGGAACCACUGGAUGCCUAGGCAUAAUAUGUGAAUUAACUGUACACAGAUCUUGUACAAAUGAAUAAAUAGGCUUCCCACCCAAUCCUGACCGGCUUUUUUAUUGGGAAAAUUAGUGAAUUAUAUCCAAAUUUGCAUGAAAUGAUUAUUUCUUGCUCAAUUAAUGAAUUAGUUAUUGGGUAUAUCCCUUCAAUAGCUUCCUUUGUUAAAGGAUCCUGAGGAAUGAAAGUUGGGGGCCACUUUUUGUCUUAAUCUGAACAGGAACAGAUGACUUAAGCAGAUUUGCAUUAAAAGAGGAUGAGGCUCAGGCCUCAGGGAGAUCUGCUGGAAUUUCAAAGGAAGGAUAUUUUAUCUCCUGACUCUCAGGAAGAAGAAGUCAGAGAGUACUCAGGUAAUUUUAGUAACAAAGAACCAUCCAGAGAGCAUGAUAUUGUGUUCCUUAGUUUACAUAAGAGAUCUCUCCCUAAUAGAUUUUUAGGCCAAUUGGAUGUCAAGAGGAAUGAAUGUUCUACCAAUAAAGGACCCAUAGAGACAAUGUAAGGAAAGAGCUUAUUAACAUUUUGAGGCUUCCCUGACACUCCUGCCACAUUUAAAGAACCAAUGGAAUCAUUCAGAAUCUGGAUUGCUCACUAAGACCAAUCUGGAGGCUCCAGUGUCCAGAAGACAGUCAUAAUAACUGCUCCCAACCUUAGAGAUCACAUGAGGCUCUUUUCUAGGGGGAAGAGAACAGACUGGAAUAAUUGGCAUCAAAACAUCAAGGUCUGGAAAGGAGUGGGCUUCACCCUCAGACUCUGCAGUCCCUUCCCUUCCUGGCAACAUCCUAAAUCAUGAUU